CACGUAGGCACCAAGCGUUGUCCGGAUUUAUUGGGCGUAAAGAGCUUGUAGGCGGUUCGGUAAGUCGGGUGUGAAACCUCUGGCUCAACUCAGAGACGCCACCCGAUACUGCUGUGACUAGAGUGCGGUAGGGGGAGCGGGGGAAUUCCUGGUGUAGCGGUGAAAUGCGCAGAUAUCAGGAAGAACACCUAUGGCGAAGGCAGCUCUCUGGGACGGUACUGACGCUGAGGUGCGAAAAGCGUGGGGGAGCAAACAGG
rnacentral:rRNA from 1 species